CCUCCAGCGCCGCCUGCUCGGCCGAGCGCAGCAACGGCAGCUCGAUGGUCCAAGUCCUCCAACGGCGAAGAGGCUGCCGCCUUGGUCAUGCUGCCCCUCGGCCCCUAUCCUUCAGUCCAAGGAAGAGAAAUCCGAGACCAGGGUAAUGGCUUGCCCCAUUUGAAGACACUGCCUGCCAGCAAGCAC